rnacentral:rRNA from 2 species
GAUCAGAAUGCCACGGUGAAUACGUUCCCGGGCCUUGUACACACCGCCCGUCACACCAUGGGAGUGGGUUGCAAAAGAAGUAGGUAGCUUAACCUUCGGGAGGGCGCUUACCACUUUGUGAUUCAUGACUGGGGUGAAGUCGUAACAAGGUAACCGUAGGGGAACCUGCGGUUGGAUCACCUCCUUA